rnacentral:rRNA from 1 species
CUACGGGACGCUGCAGUGAGGAAUAUUGCACAAUGGGGGGAACCCUGAUGCAGCAACGCCGCGUGGAGGAUGACGCAUUUCGGUGUGUAAACUCCUUUUAUAUGUCAAGAAAAUGACGGUAGCAUAUGAAUAAGCACCGGCUAACUCCGUGCCAGCAGCCGCGGUAAUACGGAGGGUGCAAGCGUUACUCGGAAUCACUGGGCGUAAAGGACGCGUAGGCGGGUUGGAAAGUCAGGUGUGAAAUCCUACAGCUUAACUGUAGAACUGCACUUGAAACUUCUAAUCUAGAGUAUGGGAGGGGAGAUGCAAUUAGUGGUGUAGGGGUAAAAUCCGUAGAUAUCACUAGGAAUACCUAAAGCGAAGGCGAUCUCCUGGAACAUUACUGACGCUAAGGCGUGAAAGCGUGGGGAGCAAACAGGAUUAGAUACCCUCGUAGUC